AGCUCCAAUAGCGUAUAUUAAAGUUGUUGCAGUUAAAAAGCUCGUAGUUGGACUUCUGAUUGAGUGCUGAUGUGUCGCAUCUCGCUACACUUGACGCGCUCUUUCAUCCUUCUGUUAGCGUCAUUCGGCAUUCAUUUGCUGGUGGCGGGCUCAGAUAUUUUACCUUGAGAAAAUUAGAGUGUUUCAGGCAGGCUAAGCCGGAAUACAUUAGCAUGGAAUAAUGGAAUAGGACUGAGGUCUCUUUGUUGGUUUGAGGGACUGCAGUAAUGAUUAAUAGGGACAGUUGGGGGCAUUAGUAUUUAAUAGUCAGAGGUGGAAUUCUAUGAUUUGUUAAAGACUAACCUAUGCGAAAGCAUUUGCCAAGGAUGUUUUCA
rnacentral:rRNA from 1 species